rnacentral:rRNA from 1 species
UAGGGAAUCUUCCACAAUGGACGCAAGUCUGAUGGAGCAACGCCGCGUGAGUGAAGAAGGUUUUCGGAUCGUAAAGCUCUGUUGUUGGUGAAGAAGGAUAGAGGUAGUAACUGGCCUUUAUUUGACGGUAAUCAACCAGAAAGUCACGGCUAACUACGUGCCAGCAGCCGCGGUAAUACGUAGGUGGCAAGCGUUGUCCGGAUUUAUUGGGCGUAAAGCGAGCGCAGGCGGAAGAAUAAGUCUGAUGUGAAAGCCCUCGGCUUAACCGAGGAACUGCAUCGGAAACUGUUUGUCUUGAGUGCAGAAGAGGAGAGUGGAAUUCCAUGUGUAGCGGUGGAAUGCGUAGAUAUAUGGAAGAACACCAGUGGCGAAGGCGACUCUCUGGUCUGCAACUGACGCUGAGGCUCGAAAGCAUGGGUAGCGAACAGG